rnacentral:lncRNA from 1 species
GCGAGACGCUGACCUUAUCUGCUUUUGCAUUGCUUUACUUUGAAAGUCCUACCGUGAUUCCACAGAAUCCAUGGCACCAGUUUAUGAGCAUGUCAUCCCCUGCCGUCCUCUUUACUAGCCUUCUUGUUAUCGGGGAAAUAACCUCUUCUUUGAAGCAUAGCGUAAUGGGGCUUCGAUGGUCCUAGGGUGUUGGUGCAUGAAGGGAAGUGCCGGGUGGAUGAUGUCUGAAAGCUCCCAAUAUGCCUCAAAGUAUGUACACGAUCUCCAUGAAUGCUUCUAGAGGGCAUUCGGAUGUAGCUUACCACACCCCGACGCCUAUGUCGCAUCCAUCAUAAGUACAUGAGGGACUUCAGCCUCGCUGGAUGCUAGGUGGCAACAAAAGUUUGAUUCAACAUAUUAUAUGAAAAAUUUUAGCGCACAGUCGAAACUGAAAAUUUCGC